GCAAAUCAAUAUAAAUUGAUUUAUUAUUUAUUUAUUAAUUUUUUUUUUAUAUUAUUAAUUUAUUAAAAAUAAUUAUAUUAUUUAUUGUUUUAGUAGUUUUUAUUGAAAAAAUAAUUUUUAUAAUAGUGAAUUAUGUAUUGUGAAAGAUUAUUGAAAUAUUUUGAAAAAUUUUUAUUUAAUAAGAAAAUUUAAUUUGUUGUACCUUGUGUAUCAGGGUUUAUUAAAUAAUUAAUAAUUAUUUAUUAAUCUCGAUUUUAUAAGAGUUAAUGAUUUAAAGAAGUUAAUGUGUCAAAAUUAUUUCAAAUAAAUCAUUAGAAAUGAAAUGUUAUUCGUUUAUAAAGGUAUCUAGUUUUUUUAGAAAUAAAUUUAAUUUAUAAAUUUUUGAUUUUUUGGUUAAUUAUUUAAUUGAAAAAGAUGAUUAAUUUAAAUAUUUUAAGGGAUAAGCUUUAAAAUAAAUUUUUAAAAAUGAAUAGUAUUUAUUUAAAAAUUGUAUGUGUAGAAUUAGCAAUCAUUUAUAAGUUUGUUAUAAAUUAUUUUAUUUUUGUUAUUAUUUAUUUAAUUUUGAUUUUUUAUAAAAAUGUUUUUAUGAAUUUUUUAUAAAAAUUAAUAAUGAUAAAAUUAGUAUAUAAAUUUAUUUAUGUUAUAAUAAUUUAUUUUGAUAAGUUUAUAUAAAGAACUCGGCAAAUAUUGUACCCGCCUGUUUAACAAAAACAUGUCUUUUUGAGUUAAUUUUAAAGUCUGACCUGCCCACUGAAAUAUUUAAAUGGCCGCAGUAUUCUAACUGUGCAAAGGUAGCAUAAUCAUUAGUUUUUUAAUUGAAGGCUUGAAUGAACGGUUGGACGAGGUAUAAACUGUUUCAUAUAAAUUUAUAUUAGAAUUUUAUAUUUUAGUAAAAAAGCUAAAAUUUUAUUAAAAGACGAGAAGACCCUAUAAAUCUUUAUAUUUAUUUUAAUUUAAAUUUUUUAGAUUUUUUAUAUUUUUAUUAAUUAUAAUAUUUUGUUGGGGUGAUAUUAAAAUUUAAUUAACUUUUAAUUUUAUUUAAUCAUUAAUUUAUGAUUUUUUGAUCCGUUAAUAACGAUUAUAAGAUUAAGUUACUUUAGGGAUAACAGCGUAAUUUUUUUGGAGAGUUCAUAUCGAUAAAAAAGUUUGCGACCUCGAUGUUGGAUUAAGAGAUAAUUUUAGGUGUAGCCGCUUAAAUUUAAAGUCUGUUCGACUUU
rnacentral:rRNA from 1 species